rnacentral:rRNA from 1 species
AAUCAACGCUGGCGGCGUGCCUCAGACAUGCAAGUCGAACGCGAAAGUUUCCUUCGGGAAGCAAGUAGAGUGGCGUCCGGGUGAGUAACACGUAGGUAAUCUACCUUUGGGUGGGGAAUAACAACCGGAAACGGUUGCUAAUACCGCAUAAUGCAGCGGCAUCACAUGAUGACAGUUGUUAACGCGGGGGAUCGCAAGACCUCGCGCCUAAAGAGGAGCCUGCGGCGGAUAGCUAGUUGGUAGGGUAACGGCCUACCAAGGCAACGAUCCGUAGCCGGUCUGAGAGGGCGGUCGGCCACACUGACACUGAAUACGGGUCAGACUCCUACGGGAGGCAGCAGUCGGGAAUUUUGGGCAAUGGGCGAAAGCCUGACCCAGCAACGCCGCGUGAAGGAUGAAAUCCCUCGGGAUGUAAACUUCGCAAGAACA